AGCGACUGUGCGGAAGGGCGAGAUUGUUCACUUCUCCCUCCUUAGCAUGCAAACACACACAGAAACAAGAGAAUCAAGCCUCCUCAAUGUGGCAAGCGGACUGCUAGGACUACCGACGAGCGCGUCGGCAGCGAUGAUAGGAAAGGAAAUGAUAUAUUCAGCAGUUGUCUUCAUCAUACGACUACGUGAAACCAAUAGGAACUUGUUUUUUGUUUGUACGCAAGUUCACAUUGCGACCCACAAUGGUUCCCCCCAUCAUCGUCGUUUUUCUUCCCGCGUCUUGGCGGACGGUUCCAAACUGUGAUUUCCCCGGAGAUACUUCGUGCUACUAAACAGAACGACCUGCUGACUCAAGGAGACGCCAGAUCUGCCUCCACCCCUUUUCACGUUCGAUAAAUGAGGGAAUGAAACAGAGCUGCAUUCCUUCCACUGUUUGUAACACGAGGGGAAAUCUGGUACCCCGAGUUCGGCGCUUACAUCCGUUUUUGCCUGCUCUUCGUAGUGACAGCGUGGCUGCUCAAGAGAGAGUGUGACAGCGGCGAGGCGUUAAGGUGACGUAUCUCCAUUGCAUAUUUCUGGUACCUGUCCACUGUCCCUCUCCAUUUCACCACAAGCAUUUCUAGGUUACAACGCAUCAACAUAUGUAUGAUGGAAGCAGGGCACUUGUGACCGUUAUCGUUGCCCUCACAAGACAUGAUUUUUGUGCUUCCAAACAUUCCACAAUGGUCUGCCUGUUGUUGUGAUCUGGAAUCUUAGUUUAUGAAAAGCGUAUGCCCCUGGCUUCCAGAUUUUUGUAUGUCUACGUGAAUCUUUAUGCGGCACGUGCGUAGUUACAUGAAUGCAUGCAUUACUCAAUGUUUGUGCCACACUUCCGAACACCGUAUUCUUAUACUUAUCUCCCCUGCUUUCCAACACCAUCUAACGUUUGAGAGACGGGAGCGCACAGUGUAGAGAGAUGGACAAUUGUCAAAUAGAGGGUACGAGAAUGAGCGCUCCGCACCACUGGGCAACCCUCUGUGAAGCUUAUUCAAGUGGACUAUGUUACAUAAAUCGCCGUGCACGCAUGCUUCUAUCAGUCUUGAGCCGCCCUUCCGGUCGCUACUUCCCGUUUUAGCGUCCAGAUUCAGUCAUGGUGAGCCGCGCAGGGCGCGUAAACCAGCUGGACUACCCCGUGUUUCAUAAACUGUCUAGAGAGUAACUGCUUUCGAAAUAAGACAAGAAAUUCGCUCCAGCUCGGACGAACAAAAAACCAUGGACCCUACGCCCUGCAUCGGCAACGCAGCCCGGGUCGUUUGAGCCAGAUCUGAGAGAGCCCGGCGCGUCCUUGCCCUUUUGAGUCAAUGCGUUUUAAAUGUAUGCUGCAGUCAUCAUGUGCGGAACAGUAACAUCAAUAGUCACCAUGUAUAAGCUGGUAGAACGGUGAAAAGCUUGCCAAUGAUCAUCGUCCUUUAAUACAGCUAGGUGUCGAGCAGUUGCGUUACCCCC
rnacentral:lncRNA from 1 species